rnacentral:rRNA from 1 species
GACGAACGCUGGCGGCGUGCUUAACACAUGCAAGUCGAACGGAAAGGCCCUGCUUGCAGGGUACUCGAGUGGCGAACGGGUGAGUAACACGUGGGUGAUCUGCCCUGAACUUCGGGAUAAGCUUGGGAAACUGGGUCUAAUACCGGAUAGGAGCCAUCUUUAGUGUGGUGGUUGGAAAGUUUUUUCGGUGUAGGAUGAGCUCGCGGCCUAUCAGCUUGUUGGUGGGGUAAUGGCCUACCAAGGCGGCGACGGGUAGCCGGCCUGAGAGGGUGUACGGCCACAUUGGGACUGAGAUACGGCCCAGACUCCUACGGGAGGCAGCAGUGGGGAAUAUUGCACAAUGGGCGCAAGCCUGAUGCAGCGACGCCGCGUGGGGGAUGAAGGCCUUCGGGUUGUAAACUCCUUUCGCUAGGGACGAAGCUUUGUUGUGACGGUACCUAGAUAAGAAGCACCGGCUAACUACGUG